AAAAAACCUUCCCUUUAAAAACCUCACCUGGCUGUUACCACAUCGAAACAUGGAAUUUGUGGGAGCUUAAAUUCGUGUUCCUGGGCCAUGAUCACUCAGAUUUAGCUCCAGAAUAAACUGUCUCUUAUACCCUUUGAGGUGAGAGUUGUGUUUUUGAGUCCGCCUGGUACAUAAUUUGCAUACUACUUAAAAUUGAAUACCUCUGAUCUUAAUCACUGUUAAUGCAGUCUGUGACCACGGCUGCCAGCUGUAGUGGGUAUUUAGACAGGAAGGGAGCUUUGAUUGUAGCUGGAGACAGGGUGUAGGGUGGGGACAGAGAAACCAGCUCAGCUCCCUCUUGUCCAGCACUGGAAUGAUGUCUGUCGUCUAUGGUCUAGCUGGUACUGACUAGCUUCUCUUUUGUUGAGAGUCCCUUACGGGCCAGGUCCCCACGAUGGGGAUGGAGUCUCCCAUCAGUUCAGAAGGAGGACUGCAGCCAGUGAACCGGCAGGAGCCACACCCAGGAGAGGUUCCAGGAUUUACUGAAGACCGACUGAGACAUCCAGCCUCCUGGACCGAGCAACUACUGGAUUCUUGGAUGAGUCACUUGGAUUAGUUGUUGAACUACAGCUUAUGAUGGUCAGAGUCUAAGCAGAAUUUUCUGGUACUUUGGGGUUCCUUACGCUUCCUCUAAAGCUCUCCUCGCCACCUGUGCAGCUUGUCCACCCUGUGUCUGACCUCCUGCCACUCCCUGGGGACCCUGUCUUGUUUCCUUUUCUCGGGAUUCUUUCUACUUGGCAACAAGUCUCUCCCUCUUGGUUCUGUGGGUAAGUCAAGCCCCACAGAGAAGGUCUGUUAUCCACAAGUGUCUGCAUAUUUCCUGGAACUGCUCUGAUGGGGCCAGGACCAAAUUUGUUGGCUCCCAAAUGAUCCCUGAGCGGAAGAGGGAUGGCUUUAGGGUGGGGCUGAGAGACAAGUCAUAGGCAUUUACCAGAACGUGAGUGGGUGUGUGUGUUUUCAUAUCUCUGAAAUCAGACAUGCCAGUAUAGUGCCUGGCACAUCGUGGCCCCCAAAGGAAAUACUCCCAUGUUACCUGACAAUAUGAUCCCACUGAGCCUUCAUGAAGGAUUGGGACAGGAGCUGU